UGGGGAAUAUUGCACAAUGGGCGCAAGCCUGAUGCAGCCAUGCCGCGUGUGUGAAGAAGGCCUUCGGGUUGUAAAGCACUUUCAGCGAGGAGGAAGGUGGUGAACUUAAUACGUUCAUCAAUUGACGUUACUCGCAGAAGAAGCACCGGCUAACUCCGUGCCAGCAGCCGCGGUAAUACGGAGGGUGCAAGCGUUAAUCGGAAUUACUGGGCGUAAAAGCGCACGCAGGCGGUUUGUUAAGUCAGAUGUGAAAAUCCCCGGGCUCAACCUGGGAACUGCAUUUGAAACUGGCAAGCUAGAGUCUCGUAGAGGGGGUAGAAUUCCAGGUGUAGCGGUGAAAUGCGUAGAGAUCUGGAGGAAUACCGGUGGCGAAGGCGGCCCCCUGGACGAAGACUGACGCUCAGGUGCGAAAAGCGUGGGGAGCAAAACAGGAUUAGAUACCCUGGUAGUCCACGCUGUAAAACGAUGUCGAUUUUGGAGGUUGUGCCCUUGAGGCGUGGCUUCCGGAGCUAACGCGUUAAAUCGACCGCCUGGGGAGUACGGCCGC
rnacentral:rRNA from 1 species